GGGCGUUUAGCUCAGCUGGUUCAGAGUACUUGAAUGACAUUCAAGGGGUCGACGGUUCGAACCCGCCAACGCCCA
rnacentral:tRNA from 1 species